ACCUAAGGGUACAUCUGGAUGAGAUUAACUAAUCCGUGGACUCACUUGAUUACCUGCUCCAACACGGCGUCAUUCAAACUGUUGAGAGAUGAAGAGAAGUAAUCCACUAAAUUCCAAUUAGUGGUGCCCAUGUGCACAUGGGGUGGGGCCACUCACUGGAACUACACUCCUAAAGAAAACUGACUUUUCCACUCCGCCCCAGUCUGUGUUGGAAUGUGGACUGGCUUGAUCCUGCAAAGGAAAUCUCCUUAAACAGACUUAAACCACUCAAAACAGCUUCCAGAAGACCCUGAAACUGAUGAGAAGAUCCUCUAGGCUCUCUGUGCCAAAGUGAACAAUAAAAGCUAAGAGUCUGGCAGAAACUGAUGCCUUGGCCACCCAACAAAGCUUUUAAUGAUCAGCUCUCCACCCAGGCCUGGCUCCCCUCACAGUGUCUGCUUUAAAACUGAUCAGAAACUAGAAAGCUUCAUUGUGUCUCCAUCAUCACUUGGAGGACAUCUAAAUCCAAGGUUAGAAGCCUUGAACCAUGGGCUUUCCUCUAUGGGUCCCAUUGCGUUGACAGAACAUUCACA